AUUGAACGCUGGCGGCAUGCUUUACACAUGCAAGUCGAACGGUAACAGGCCUUCGGGCGCUGACGAGUGGCGAACGGGUGAGCAAUGCAUCGGAACGUGCCCAGUCGUGGGGGAUAACGCAGCGAAAGCUGUGCUAAUACCGCAUACGAUCUAUGGAUGACAGCGGGGGACCGUAAGGCCUCGCGCGAUUGGAGCGGCCGAUGUCAGAUUAGGUAGGUGGUGGGGUAAAGGCUCACCAAGCCAACGAUCUGUAGCUGGUCUGAGAGGACGACCAGCCACACUGGAACUGAGACACGGUCCAGACUCCUACGGGAGGCAGCAUUGGGGAAUUUUGGACAAUGGGCGCAAGCCUGAUCCAGCAAUGCCGCGUGCAGGAAGAAGGCCUUCGGGUUGUAAACUGCUUUUGUACGGAACGAAACGGCGAGCUCUAAUACAGUUUGCUAAUGACGGUACCGUAAGAAUAAGCACCGGCUAACUACGUGCCAGCCGCCGCCGUAAAAC
rnacentral:rRNA from 1 species